AAUUGAAAAUAAGAAAAAAAAAUUGGGAUUUUUCUCAGCUGGGUGUGCUGGGAAAGAAGUUUAGUAAGAUCAUGCAGCCAAAUCAACAGCGGCCUUCGAAGCGUCAGCUCCCAUUUACGUCGAGUAAACCGCCGUUAGGGGACUACCACCGGUUCUCUACUGACCCACUUCAUCCUUCUUCUCAAGAGCUUGAAGGAAUCGCUGUAAAGUCUACUCCACUAAAGCGGAAGAGUGGA
rnacentral:misc_RNA from 1 species